UACGUAGGGUGCAAGCGUUGUCCGGAAUUUUUGGGCGUAAAGAGCGCGCAGGCGGUCGUUCAAGUCGAGUGUGAAAGCCCCCGGCUCAACUGGGGAGGGUCAUUCGAUACUGAUCGACUCGAAGGCAGGAGAGGGUAGUGGAAUUCCCGGUGUAGUGGUGAAAUGCGUAGAUAUCGGGAGGAACACCAGUGGCGAAGGCGACUACCUGGCCUGUUCUUGACGCUGAGGCGCGAAAGCUAGGGGAGCAAACGGG
rnacentral:rRNA from 1 species